GACGAACGCUGGCGGCGUGCUUAACACAUGCAAGUCGAGCGGAAAGGCCCUUCGGGGUACUCGAGCGGAGAACGGGUGAGUAACACGUGAGUAACCUGCCCCAGACUUUGGGAUAACCCUCGGAAACGGGGGCUAAUACCGGAUACGACACAGCUUCGCAUGGGGUCUGUGUGGAAAGUUUUUCGGUUUGGGAUGUGCGCGCGGCCUAUCAGCUUGUUGGUGGGGUGAUGGCCUACCAAGGCGACGACGGGUAGCCGGCCUGAGAGGGCGACCGGCCACACUGGGACUGAGACACGGCCCAGACUCCUACGGGAGGCAGCAGUGGGGAAUAUUGCACAAUGGGCGGAAGCCUGAUGCAGCGACGCCGCGUGAGGGAUGACGGCCUUCGGGUUGUAAACCUCUUUCAGCAGGGACGAAGCGUAAGUGACGGUACCUGCAGAAGAAGCGCCGGCCAACUACGUG
rnacentral:rRNA from 1 species